rnacentral:lncRNA from 1 species
GCAAAUACAGAGAAACCAGGGAUAUGACAGCAUCACCAUCGCCUUAGUUUUUUUCCAAACGCUCAGCCUGGUAGAGGGCGAGGUACAUCAUUCUAUAGGGGACCACCUUUCGAGAGGUAGUUCAGGUCAAUAAAUAAUGGGAGAACAUUCAGGCCGCAACCUCGCUAACCAAAUGUAUGGCAUUCGUUACAGUAUAAUGCAGGAAGGGUGAUACCCUUCAACGAGAUGACUAGAAUCCAACAAAGAUGUUUUCAACGAAAUUAUGGACGAAUGAUGAGGCAACAACAUGGAGUGUCACGUCCUAAGGCACCUAAACUACUCGAGGUGGCCAAUCAAAAUGUUCUCGAAGACAGUGAAGAGACCGGUACAGGUGAGUCGAUGGAAGAAUUGUCAGAGACUUCUUCUAGGAGAUCGAAGUUUGAGCGAGGUAGAAGGGAUGGAGAAGAUCCAGAUCAGCCCCUUACUAUUCAGUUCGGUACGUUACCUCCUAGCAUGGCUAAUAACUAUUUACUAGCCAAUAAGUUCAAGAACAAAGAGAAAGAAGAAGAAGAGAAGGAGGAUGAUGAGGAAGAAGCAUGUGUGCUGGAAUGUGAAGAAGGCCAAACUUCUAGAAGGGCCUACAAUGGUGAAGAGGAUGAUGGUAUGAUGGAUAUCGAAGAGGAAAUUGAUCUGGAAGCAGAAAGAAGAAAGAGAAGAGUAUCGCACAAUACUCUGUUGAAGCAACUACAUCGAGAGGGAGUUCGUGAAGUGGACUUGUUGGGGGAACCAUUUGGGCAUUCUUUCGAUUAUUACGUGCUGUACAGGAAACCCAAGAGGAAAAAGAGAUUACCUCGCUCUGAAAAGUAUGGAUCACUUCCAAAAAUAAUAUCU